rnacentral:rRNA from 1 species
UGGGGAAUAUUGCACAAUGGACGCAAGUCUGAUGCAGCGAUGCCGCGUGAGUGAAGAAGGCUCUUGGGUCGUAAAGCUCUUUUAAGAGGGAAGAAGUGAUUGUUUGUUAACACCAGACAGCAUUGACGGUACCUUUAGAAUAAGCACCGGCUAAUUCCGUGCCAGCAGCCGCGGUAAUACGGGAGGUGCAAGCGUUAUUCGGAAUAACUGGGCGUAAAGCGCGCGUAGACGGUUUUGUAAGUCGGAUGUGAAAUCCCCAAGCUUAACUUGGGAACUGCAUUCGAAACUGCGAAUCUUGAAUGCUUCAGAGGUUGGUGAAAUUUCAGGUGUAGGAGUGAAAUCCGUAGAUAUCUGAAGGAACACCGGUGGCGAAGGCGGCCAACUGGGAAUGCAUUGACGUUGAGGUGCGAAAGCGUGGGGAGCAAACAGG